CAUGUCUUUUUGUUUAUGAUUUAAGGUCUAAUCUGCUCAAUGAUUAAAUUAAAUUGCCGCGGUAUUUUGACUGUGCAAAGGUAGCAUAAUAAUUUGUUUCUUUAUUGGGAGCUGGGAUGAAUGAUUGGACGAGGAAUUUACUGUCUCUUUAAUAUUUGAAUUUAAUUUUAUUUUUCAGUUAAAAAGCUGAAAUUUUAAUAAAAGACGAGAAGACCCUAUAGAGUUUAAUAAUUUUGACUAUAAUUAUCAAUUAGAAUUAAAUUAAUUAAUAGUUUAAUUUAUUUGGUUGGGGUGACUGGAAGAUUGAAUAAACUCUUUUAUUUUUUAAUCAAUGAUUUUUGAAUUUAAAAUCUAAUAUUUUUAAGAUUAAAAUAAAUUACCUUAGGGAUAACAGCGUUAUUUUUCUUUGAAGUUCUUAUUUGAAGGAAAGAUUGCGACCUCGAUGUUGGAUUAAAAUUAAUUUAUGGCGCAAAAGCUUUAUAAUUAAGUCUGUUCGACUUUUAAAAUUUUACAUGAUCUGAGU
rnacentral:rRNA from 1 species